GAUAAACGCUGGCGGCGUGCUUCAGGCAUGCAAGUCGAACGGACACUACGGUGUCAGUGGCGGACGGGUGAGUAACACGUAAGUAACCUGCCCAGAAGUGGGGAAUAACUGGCCGAAAGGCCGGCUAAUACCGCAUGUGAUGGCUCUUCCCUGGAGGGGUCAUGAAAGGAUUUAUUCGCUUCUGGAGGGGCUUGCGGCCGAUUAGCUAGUUGGUGGGGUGAUGGCCUACCAAGGCUGCGAUCGGUAGCUGGUCUGAGAGGACGGUCAGCCACACGGGGACUGAGAUACGGCCCCGACUCCUACGGGAGGCAGCAGCUAGGAAUCUUGGGAAUGGGCGAAAGCCUGACCCAGCAACGCCGCGUGGGCGAUGAAGGCCUUCGGGUUGUAAAGCCCUUUUGCGGGGGAAGAUGAUGACGGUACCCCGCGAAUAAGCCACGGCUAACUACGUGCCAGCCGCCGCAGUAA
rnacentral:rRNA from 1 species